AUAUCUCAGUGGUAGAGCAUUUGCCUAGCAUGCAAAGGCUCUGGGUUCAAUCCCUAGU
rnacentral:tRNA from 1 species